rnacentral:lncRNA from 1 species
AGAGAGGCGCUGGGGUGAAGAGAUCCCGAGAGCCAGCUCCUGAUUGUGGAAGAUUAGCGCUGAGCUAACAUCCGUUGCCAAUCCUCCCCUUUUUGCUGAGGAAGACUGGCCCUGAGCUCACAUCCGUGCCCAUCUUCCUCCACUUUAUAUGUGGGACGCCUACCACAGCAUGGCUUGCCAAGCAGUGCCAUGUCCGCACCUGGGAUCUGAACCAGCGAACCCCGGGCCGCCCAAGUGAAACAUGCCCACUUAACCACUGUGCCACGAGGCCAAACCCCAGUUAUUUCUUGUAUUCUC